UGCCGCGGUGAAUACGUUCCCGGGCCUUGUACACACCGCCCGUCACACCACGAGAGUUUGUAACACCCGAAGUCGGUGGGGUAACCUUUAUGGAGCCAGCCGCCUAAGGUGGGACAGAUGAUUGGGGUGAAGUCGUAACAAGGUAGCCGUAUCGGAAGGUGCGGCUGGAUCACCUCCUUUCUAAGGA
rnacentral:rRNA from 1 species